rnacentral:rRNA from 1 species
UACGUAGGGCGCGAGCGUUGUCCGGAAUUAUUGGGCGUAAAGCGCACGUAGGCGGUUUGUUAAGUCGGAUGUGAAAUCCCUCGGCUCAACUGAGGAAGUGCAUCCGAAACUGGCAGGCUUGAGUACUAAAGAGGGUCGCGGAAUUCCCGGUGUAGAGGUGAAAUUCGUAGAUAUCGGGAGGAACACCGGUGGCGAAGGCAGGUCACUGGGCCGCAACUGACGCUGAGGAGCGAAAGCAUGGGGAGCGAACAGG